UGGGGAAUAUUGGACAAUGGGCGCAAGCCUGAUCCAGCCAUACCGCGUGUGUGAAGAAGGCCCUAGGGUUGUAAAGCACUUUCAGUAGGGAGGAAAAGUUAAGUGUUAAUAGCGCUUAGCCGUGACGUUACCUACAGAAGAAGCACCGGCUAACUCCGUGCCAGCAGCCGCGGUAAUACGGAGGGUGCAAGCGUUAAUCGGAAUUACUGGGCGUAAAGCGCGCGUAGGCGGCUAUUUAAGUCAGCUGUGAAAGCCCUGGGCUCAACCUGGGAACUGCAGUUGAUACUGGGUAGCUAGAGUAUAGGAGAGGAGUGUGGAAUUUCAGGUGUAGCGGUGAAAUGCGUAGAGAU
rnacentral:rRNA from 1 species